GGGGUCUCUACUAUUGGAUUACCAAGCUUGCUGGCCCAAAAUGGUCACCAUUUGCUUCAUGGAUAACUGGCUGGUAUAUUGAGAUGAUUUCUUUGGAGCAAUUCUUGACAACAUUUGUAGUUGAGGCCUUUAGAAUGGAAGAAUGUAAUUCACUAAUUUUUGUAUACAUUUCUUGUUUUGUAUUUAGUGAUAAAGGAAUCUGAAUUGGGCAUAAAUUAUGUUGUAAUAUGAUGUCUUAUGCCUAGACUAGUAGACUAAAUAUUGUAAUUACAUUUGAGUAAUUAAUAAAAAUCUAUUUAUGCUA